GUCUGAAAUCUCAUCAUUUUGACUGCUCNUGGCUGAUUUUGUCUGAGUUUGGAAGCCAAGGAGGGUAAGACUUGGCUUGUACUUGAAUGGGAAACCACCUGGGCAAGCCAAGUCCCGUAGGCC
rnacentral:rRNA from 1 species